rnacentral:misc_RNA from 1 species
UGCAAAAUCAUAAAUGUCAGAUCUGGAGCUGAGCUUCCUGAAAAGUGCCGAGAGUUGGCAUUGCAUUUUGAGAAUCAAGGAACUCCUAUCAUGAUUGGUGGUGGUGUUCUUGCCUACACUCUCCUGGGUGUGGAUUAUAACGAUGCAAGUGGAGAUUGUGCUUUCCUUAUACUGGAUCCUCAUUAUACCGGCAGUGAUGAUAUCAAGAAAAUAGUGAAUGGUGGAUGGUGUGGGUGGAAGAAAGCUGUUGAUAGCAAGGGAAAACACUUCUUCUUGCAUGAUAAGUUUUAUAACCUUCUGCUCCCUCAACGGCCUAAUAUGGUCUAGUUAAUCUUAACAUACAAAAAGUCCAUGUUCAGAUAGACAACAAACAGAGCCAAUCUCUCUGUUCAAGUGUGUUGGGGAUUGGCUGGA